AAGCUCGUAGUUGAAUUUCGGGAUUAGUACGUCGGUCGUGCCUUAGGUACGUACUGGUGUUACUGGUUCCUACCUUCUGACGAACCAUCAUGUCAUUAAUUUGGUGUGGUGGGGAAUCAGGACUGUUACUUUGAAAAAAUUAGAGUGUUUAAAGCAGGCUCGCGCUUGAAUACAUUAGCAUGGAAUAAUGAAGUAGGACGUUGAUCCUAUUUUGUUGGUUUCUAGGAUUGACGUAAUGAUUAAUAGGGAUAGUUGGG
rnacentral:rRNA from 1 species